rnacentral:rRNA from 1 species
AAAUUGAAGAGUUUGAUCAUGGCUCAGAUUGAACGCUGGCGGCAGGCCUAACACAUGCAAGUCGAGCGGUAGCACAGAAGAGCUUGCUCUUUGGGUGACGAGCGGCGGACGGGUGAGUAAUGUCUGGGAAACUGCCUGAUGGAGGGGGAUAACUACUGGAAACGGUAGCUAAUACCGCAUAACCUCGCAAGAGCAAAGAGGGGGGACCUUCGGGCCUCUCGCCAUCAGAUGUGCCCAGAUGGGAUUAGCUAGUAGGUGAGGUAAUGGCUCACCUAGGCGACGAUCCCUAGCUGGUCUGAGAGGAUGACCAGCCACACUGGAACUGAGACACGGUCCAGACUCCUACGGGAGGCAGCAGUGGGGAAUAUUGCACAAUGGGCGCAAGCCUGAUGCAGCCAUGCCGCGUGUGUGAAGAAGGCCUUCGGGUUGUAAAGCACUUUCAGCGGGGAGGAAGGCAGUAAGGUUAAUAACCUUGCUGAUUGACGUUACCCGCAGAAGAAGCACCGGCUAACUCCGUGCCAGCAGCCGCGGUAAUACGGAGGGUGCAAGCGUUAAUCGGAAUGACUGGGCGUAAAGCGCACGCAGGCGGUCUGUUAAGUUGGAUGUGAAAUCCCCCGGGCUUAACCUGGGAACUGCAUUCAAAACUGACAGGCUAGAGUCUUGUAGAGGGGGGUAGAAUUCCAGGUGUAGCGGUGAAAUGCGUAGAGAUCUGGAGGAAUACCGGUGGCGAAGGCGGCCCCCUGGACAAAGACUGACGCUCAGGUGCGAAAGCGUGGGGAGCAAACGGGAUUAGAUACCCUGGUAGUCCACGCUGUAAACGAUGUCGAUUUGGAGGUUGUGCCCUUGAGGCGUGGCUUCCGGAGCUAACGCGUUAAAUCGACCGCCUGGGGAGUACGGCCGCAAGGUUAAAACUCAAAUGAAUUGACGGGGGCCCGCACAAGCGGUGGAGCAUGUGGUUUAAUUCGAUGCAACGCGAAGAACCUUACCUACUCUUGACAUCCAGAGAACUUAGCAGAGAUGCUUUGGUGCCUUCGGGAACUCUGAGACAGGUGCUGCAUGGCUGUCGUCAGCUCGUGUUGUGAAAUGUUGGGUUAAGUCCCGCAACGAGCGCAACCCUUAUCCUUUGUUGCCAGCGAUUCGGUCGGGAACUCAAAGGAGACUGCCGGUGAUAAACCGGAGGAAGGUGGGGAUGACGUCAAGUCAUCAUGGCCCUUACGAGUAGGGCUACACACGUGCUACAAUGGCGUAUACAAAGAGAAGCGACCUCGCGAGAGCAAGCGGACCUCAUAAAGUACGUCGUAGUCCGGAUUGGAGUCUGCAACUCGACUCCAUGAAGUCGGAAUCGCUAGUAAUCGUAGAUCAGAAUGCUACGGUGAAUACGUUCCCGGGCCUUGUACACACCGCCCGUCACACCAUGGGAGUGGGUUGCAAAAGAAGUAGGUAGCUUAACCUUCGGGAGGGCGCUUACCACUUUGUGAUUCAUGACUGGGGUGAAGUCGUAACAAGGUAACCGUAGGGGAACCUGCGGUUGGAUCACCUCCUUA